UGUAUAUUAGAGAAGUAUUUUGAUAUCUAUUUCCAUCCUUUUUAUUCUUUGUAAAGUAGAUGGCGUAUAAAUACAGAUACUAUACAGUUAAUCCACUCGUUAAAUAAAAGAUGUUUUUAUAACACAGAGGUUUUUCCAAGAAGGAAAUUGGUUCUUCUCCCACCCUCUAAAUUGCUCUUUAUUAAAAGAAAUGUGUUUGUUCAGGUUUAUUUCUCUCGAUGCUGGAUGAUAAUAUUGCUGUGGAUGAUGUGUAAUCAGUUUUUAUGGGGGAUGUUGCCGCAGAAGGAGUGGUUUGGAAGUGAGCGAGUUACUCUGUGGUGUAUUCACAGUUCUCUCUUUGUCAUGUUAGGCACUCCUCCUCUGUUUCUGUUUGUGGUAUCAGGUCAUAAGACCUCAUGUAAAAUUUGUUUCAAACAUUUGAAAAAGCACGCUUUUCAUUUUAUUACUUGAAACUGAAAGUUUGCACAUUUGCCGCGAGGAAGAAUUCCCAUGACAACACAGUAGUCUUGUGGCUCUCUAACUUUUAUCUUUCUCAGGCAUUCUUUCUUCUUAAGCAGAUGAGUCAAGAUUAUCAUUAACAUUUACAUUGAGAAAGCAAAAACUGAUGUUUAAAAAAUAUAUAAUUGUAAUUUUUAUAUAAUUACAGGCCGCAUUUGAGUCAGAAGAGAUGCCUCAAACUGAAGUGUAUGGUAGGUUCCUGACCUGCCUCAAUGCUGUGGUGUCUGUUAAAAAAAAAAACAGUUGCAACAAACCAAGGCAAAACAACCUAGAUGGCCAAUAGAAGUUUUAAUUGCAAAGAUUUCCUCUGACGUGAGUGUUAAUAAAUGUCAAAGCAAUGACAUAAAAAGACAUUACCUGUUUAAUGAUUGAUAGAAUAAGAAAAGCACAAGGUCUUUUGUCAGAUAAAUGACUACUGUUUGGUGUUCCUUUACCUCAGGAGUAUCAAAAGUGAUCUCAGAUAGGCAGUAAUAGCCCAGGGGCUAAGGCAGCAAGUAUGAUGCAGCCUGUUAGAUUAUAACCGAAGCAGGAAGGCGAAUUAAUUUGUCUCAGUGUACUUCUUUUCUCACAUGGCAAUUUUGACAUACUUUAGUGCUUUGGGUUUGUUUGGAACUUGUGUUGAAAGUUUCUGAAGAAUUUAAAUAGGCAUAUAAAAUUUUAUAGGACUGGCUUUGUAUAUCUAUAGUGCAGGUGUAUUAUUAAAGAAAAUUUAAAUAUUGCUCCAACUUGUUGAAAGAGCACAUCUGGUGGUGUUUGGUUUUGUACAGAUGUUGCUGUGACACAGAUCCAUAACAUGAAAUGACAAUGGUGACAUCUAACAAUUGCAAAGUAACGGUCACCAAUGAAUUUAAUUUUUCUAAGGUAUAGUUCACACCUCUGGGGUGUCCAAUGUUUGCUAUGAUAUGCUUUUUGCAUGCUUAAAGAAUUAAUGGUGGCAUAUUCUGUAUGAUUAAAAUAAACUUUGCACCAUGUUUACAAGUAUGAGAAAUAUUGUAGGUCAGUUCCCAUGUUCAUGUCACGCAAAACACCUGUAAGUUUCAAAAGUGCUAAGUCUAUUCUUGUUGGUUAUUUGUUUUCCUCACUCCCUUAUUACUAUAAUUCCAUUAUUUCUUUGUGAAUCAAGUCAUUUUUUGCUCCUUGUAAUUGGCUCUAGGAAAAGCUGAUAAAUAACAUUUAGGGGAAAUAGGCAUGGAUUCUAGUUGAAAACUCUGCCCACUUAGCUAAUUGCUAUUUGUUCGGGAUGCCAUGUGUUUACUGAUGGUCUACAAAGAACUUGUGUGGAUGUAAUCUUGCUGGCAAAUCCACAAUACAACAUAACUGUGGCUUCUUACGGAGCAAGUUUAUUGCAGCUGUUGAGGGACCACGAGAAGUAAACCUUCCUUCUGCGUCCACCAGCCUGCUGCCAGGAGUAUUUCUUCGGCAUUCUCAUUCUUCUCACUCCUGCUCACUCUGUUCUCACAGAUCUGGGAGUGUUACAGGAUGCCCCUUGUCUGUCCUGCUGAUUUUCUCAUGAACUGCCUGAAAACUUAACCUAAGAUCAUUGUUGUAAGACGGCAAUGACUUAGGAGUCCCAUAGCUGGAGUUGGGGAGCAAGGGGCUGGGGAGACUGCUGGGGAGGCAUCUAUGUGGGUCUGGUCAAAAAAGUGACUGAGAAUGGCAAGGCUCAGGUUUCAUUUCCCUUUUCACUCUUCAGGUAUUUAAGUUACUAGAACCUAUUCUUGAGUGCUAAAGGUGUUUUAACUGAACAGGGAGUAUGGUUGAAUCAGGCCAAAGCAAGGUUAAUUGAUUCAACCAAUAUAUUACGGUUAUGUGAGAGCUGAAAGGCCUGAAAAAGAAAAACAACAACAACUCACUUUCUUCCUCCCCUUGUCCAUGAAUAUACCUGUGAUUGUAACACUUUUUAUUCUCUUAGUGCAGUCAUUUCUAAAGGUCUGCGAAAAGGUGUCUUUGCUUUGUUUUGUUUUAGUGUAGGUAGAGAGCAGCACAGAGAAUGUCCCUGGUACAAUUUACCCAGAAACUGAGUAGUUAUAUUGAUUUUAAGGAGAAGAAGAAGAAAUGAAGCUUUCCCCAGGUAUUUGAGGAUAGAUAACAUCGAUGUUCAAACAUAAAAAGAAUUUGAGAGAAUGCUACUAGUUUAUUUUGCCUUCCUGGAAUGUUGCUUUUUUCUCUCUCUAUUUUUUUUUACUGUAUUUUAGGUUUUGGGGUACAUGUGAAGAACAUGCAAAAUAGUUGCAUAGGUACACACAUGGCAGUGUGAUGUGCUGCCUUCCUCCCCAUCACCUAUAUCUGGCAUUUCUCCCCAUGCUAUCUCUCCCCAACUCCCCACCCCCCACUGUCCCUCCCCUAUUUCCCCCCUACAGACCCCAGUGUGUGAUGCUCCCCUCCCUAUGUCCAUGUGUUCUCAUUGUUCAACACCCGCCUAUGACUGAAAACAUGAGGUAUUUCAUUUUCUGUUCUUGUGUCAGUUUGCUGAGAAUGAUGGUUUCCAGGUUCAUCCAUGUCCCUACAAAGGACACAAACUCAUCGUUUUUGAUGGCUGCAUAGUAUUCCAUGGUGUAUAUGUGCCACAUUUUCCCUGUUCAAUCUAUCAUUGAUGGGCAUUUGGGUUGGUUCCAGGUCUUUGCUAUUGUAAACAGUGCUGUAAUGAACAUUUGUGUGCAUGUGUCCUUAUAGUAGAACGAUUUAUAGUCCUUUGGAUAUAUACCCAGUAAUGGGAUUGCUGGGUCAAAUGGAAUUUCUAUUUCUAGGUCCUUGAGGAAUCGCCACACUGUCUUCCACAAUGGUUUAACUAAUUUACACUCCCACCAGCAGUGUAAAAAUGUUCCUGUUUCUCCACAUCCUCUCCAGCAUCUGUUGUCUCCAGAUUUUUUAAUGAUCGCCAUUCUAACUGGCGUGAGAUGGUAUCUCAAUGUAGUUUUGAUCUGCAUUUCUCUAAUGACCAGUGAUGAUGAGCAUAUUUUCAUAUAUUUGUUGGCCUCAUAUAUGUCUUCUUUUGUAAAGUGUCUGUUCAUGUCCUUUGUCCACUUUUGAAUGGGCUUGUUUGUUUUUUUCUUGUAAAUCUGUUUUAGUUCUUUGUAGAUUCUGGGUAUCAGUCCUUUGUCAGAUAUCCAGGGUUAAAUAAAUAAAUAAAUAAAAGGGUUAAAUAAAUAAAUAAAUAAUUUUUUUUAACCCUUUUAAAUAAAAGCAGGGUUUCGCUGAGUUGCCCAGGCUGGUCUCAAACUCUGGAGCUCAGCCAAUCUGCCUGCCUUGGCUUCCCAGGGUGCUGGGGUUGAGGGUGUGGGCCAUUGCGCCCAGCCAGAUCUCUCCAGCUUUUUGAUGCUGAGGCCCACCCUGAUGCCCCAUCUGUUUGCCCCAUCUUUUGUCACUGGAGGGUUAAAUGAAAUGUGAGCGUCACCCAACAAGGUUCCUAUCCUUGCACCUCCUCCUGUCUUCAGCCUGCCUUUGAGGCAGCAGCCUCACUGGGGACUUUGACCAGCCCCACCCAUUCUUCACUGAACCUCCUGCUCCAGCCUCUGCCUCCUCCAUUUUGAUGCCUAGAAUCACGGGAUCCAGGAUCAUCGCCAAGGCCACCUUCUCAGACAGAUGUGCUGAGGCUUUAGAAAGUGCUUUUUAUUUGGCUGGGAGCUUGUGAAUAAAUGCGAGAGAGGCUGCACAUCUGACAGACUAUUGAAGCGACUCAUGGCUGAACUGGAACAGGACAUCGGGGAGAAGCUAGCAGGUGAAGAUGAACAAGAAGGCACAAAUCCACACUUGCCAAUGGACCCGAGUGAUAACAACAAACCCAGUGACACCUGUCUAGUGCUGGCGCUUAAAGUCAGAAUUCAGAGCCCCAGAGAAAUGACUUCAUUGAAAUUGAACUGAAGAGACAAGAACUGAGUUACCAAAACUUACUAAAAGUGAGUUGCUGUGAACUGCGGAUUAACCCAGAGCAAGUGGAGAAGAUCAGAGCUACCAAAUCCCUGCUCAGAAAGGACCAAGACAUUCCAAGACUGCGGGACUUUCAGGAAGUAGAACUCAUUUUAAUGAAAAAUGGAAGCUCCGAAUUGACAGAGUCUAUACCGUCUCUGACAGACCCUGCUACAAUAGCAAAGCUGCAAAAUUGAAUUACUAAAUAAUCCCAGGAAUGGCCCGGAAUGGUGGCUCGUGCCUGUAAUCCCAGCACUUUGGGAAGCCAAGGCAGGCAAAGCACCUGGGGUUGGGAAUUCUAGACCAGCCUGGCUAACAUGGUGAAACCCCUGUCUCUACUAAAAAAAAAAUGCAGGGAUUGACUGGGUGUGGUGGCAUGUACCUGUAGUCCCAGUUACUUAGGAGGCUGGGGCAGGGUAGUCGCUUGAACCCGGGGGGCGGUGGUUGCAGUGGGCUGGGAUCAUGCCAUUGCACUCCAGCCUGGCCAACAGAGGAAGACUCUGUCUCUUGAAAUAAAUAAUCCCAGGAAUAAAAAACCUGAAAUUAUUUUUUAAACAAUGAAGUCCGGAUGCAUGUAACAGUUUGGCUUAAACAAAAAAUCCUGCUUUUAUUUAAAAGGGUUAAAAAGGAAUGUUGCUUUUAAGGCAAAAUGGACAUGUUUUCUAUAAGUACUAUGUCCUACAACAAAGUAUUUAUAAAAAUUUCAACUUUGGAAAUACUAUAUUGAAUUUUGAAAGUGAUAUUUAAUAUUUUUUGCAUAAUUAUACAUCAUUUGAGACAUUUCUGAGACCACUUUAUAAUUUUAGAAUAGCAGAUUCAACUCAACCCUUUUAAAAAUUUAGGUAUAUUGAAAUUUGGGUAUGCUGCCACCAGGUGGUGGCAAGUCUUUGAGUCACGUGUUACUGUAAUUUAAUUUUUUUAACCCUUUUAAAUAAAAGCAGUAGGAAAUCUCUCUUGAACCAAUAACUUACUCAGAAAUCCAAUAUAUAAAAUAGAUAAAAGUCAACCUAGAUGCUAUGACAGUGGAACAGGAGUUUCAAAGCCAAAUGUCUGUGCUCAUAGCUUUCCACUGGUGAUCUCUGAGGAACCUCAGGGAGACAGUUGGAAAAUCCCCAUCGCAUUUAUAAUGCGCAUAUUUUCCCUAACAUUAAGAUAAAAAAACAUUUUUUUUAAAUAAAUGAAACUAAGCAAUAGAAAAGAUAAUCUUCGAGAGCAGGAAGAAAGACCAGGAAAACAUCUCUCUGAACAAAUGGAGGAAAAAGAGGGUGCUUGUGGAUCCAGACCCAAUGUGAUGUGGUGAGUGAAGCAGACCUGGGCAAGAGCAUGAAUAUAAGCCUAAACUUGAGAAUUCUGUCCAAGCAGACCAGGCUCUAUUUGGGCACUGUCAGGACAUACUGGAGAUUUUGGAAGAAGGACGGGGGCAGGAGGGUGUGAUUGUCCUGAGAGUCAAUGAUUGGCUGAACUUCUUCAGAUUUUUAGAUUAUUCAUUGUCCAAUUAGUUCCUUAGGGGUGGGGCUGGGAUCCCAGAGUAUAAGGUCAUCAUCUUCCAGGAUGACAAGCCUUGGGCUGUAUUUGGUUGGUUGUUUUUCUAGUGCCUUCUCUCCCAUGUGAUGAGAGAAGACAGAACAGACUGCAUAGCUGCCUGUUUAUCCAGCUCCAUACAGUGGGGACAUCUGAGCAGAGACCAGGCUACUGCUGCUGCCCUUCUUGUGAGGAGCCAUGUCUUGGUUCACAUUUUUGCUUUGUUUGUGCCUUACACCAGUGACCUCCCAAAUGAUCAAUACGGUAGUUAAAAGCAAUAUUUUCUCUGUAUUUGGCUAACUUUCCCCUGAAAACACCUCCCUGUAGAAAUUGCAAACUCUCCCAGAAACUAUUUUCUAAAAUUAUUAUUUUCUCUCAAAUUAUCUUAAAAUACAGAACCUAAUGUAAGCUUUGAACAGACAUGUAGAUAAGGCAAGUAUAGUGAUAUAACUAUCCUACAUUACGGAAAACCGCGAUCCUGGAGGGUUAGGUGUAAAUACAACAACCCCAAAAACCUGUGAAUCAACUAACCAAAAAACCCAAUAAAUAGUUACUGAUAAACCAAUAAAACCACUAGACUGUCUUAAAUCGUGUAGUUGUUCUAAGAAGUCUGUGUAUAUAUAACCUACAUGCAGUAAUGAGCUUCUGGUUGACAUGAUAGAGCAAGUUUAGAUAGAGGAAAUGUUAGAAUUAGGCAAAAUGAUAGGAAAUGCAAGAAUGACUGCAAAUAGCCCUGAGCCCCUCAGACUGAGGUCCCCAUCUGAACCCUGCAAUCAGGUUAUUUCGGUGACUCUCACCUGUUACUGGAGUCAGACACUGUAGAUCACAUUGGCCAGUAAUCCAUAAAGCAUCAAUUCAUUGAUUCAGUAAGUACAAGCUAAAUACCUACUAUGUUCCAGGCACUGUUCUGAAAUCUAGACAAAUUCCAUACCCUCAUGGACCUUUUUAGCAGGGGUGAAAAAGAAUAAAUACAGAAACAAAUAACUACAUAAUGUGUGGUAAUAACUGCUAUGAAGAAAAGGAAGGGGUAAAGGGGGAAUGGUCGCAUGCAGAAGGUUUGGUACAUAGAGCAGGAGUCAGCUCCAGCCCCUCUGAGCAGGGGCAUUGGAACAGAAACCUGAAAGGAAUAGCAGUGAUCAAGGUGGCUGAAGAAGGAACCAACUCGAUGUUUCAAAGAACCAGAAAGCCAACCACACUAGGCUAGUGUGAAUGAAUGAAAGAGGAGGGGUGAGGUCAGAGAGGAAGCACCUCAAAGGCCAUGCUGAGGAGUUUGGACCGAAUGUGAUGGGAAGCUAGGAGAGGGCUCCAACGGCUGUGUGGUGAAUAGACUGUGGGGUAAGCGUGGAACCAUAAAGGUGAGUUAGGAACCUGUUCUGGAAUUGCAGGAGAGUCAUGAUGCUGGCUGGGACUGGCAAGCACUGCUCAUGCCAGAUAACUUUUUCUUAGACUCUCGUCAUGCUCUGUUGAUUUGUUCUAGCUGACUCCUCCUGGGAUAGGCAUUUAAAAGACAACCGUCAGCCACCCCUUUGCCAGUCAUGGAGGUACCUAUUAUUAGUUAUAAGAUGGCCUGGAGCUGAGGUCUUGGCCAAGUCACUUCAUCUCACUGAGCUUAGGUGGUCCACAUUGGGUCCUUUUUCAAGUCUGACAUCCUCUGAGCCCUAAUUUUUGUGAUUGAGCCUUAAUGAGCUCUACCACCCAAGAUGACCACAGGGGCAAUGGAAAUCAUUAGAAUGCCCCACAUGCCUCUGAAUUGAAUAUAAUUUGAUCCAGAUCUUUUUCCAUUCCCUGGAAGCCUGCAAACAUUCUGCGAUACCCAAAUUCAGAUCUUCAAUCUCCUAUUAGGCUGAUUUAGGAAACUCCGAUGAAAAAAAUGGUCACUGGAUAGAGAUGGUUCCACCAGAAAUCACCCUCCCCUUCCCAUACCCAGUUCUCACGCACUUCACCCUUAUAGUCCUCAAAGUGGCCCUCCGAGCCUUUCAGAGCCCUCCUUAAUAUUCAUUUGAAUCUGAUCUUGUGCAUCUGGGAGAUAACUGGGAUAUCUUGCAUCUCCCAAAUUAGCCUGCAUAGAGCUCACAAUAGAAUUCUGGCAUCUUGUUCAGAAAACAGCAUUCAACAGUGUGGAAAUAGUCAUCAAUCCUGAGUUUCAGGAAGGGAUUCUGCAGAGGCCUUUCAUCCUUGCACAGUGAAUAGAUGCUGCUUCAUCCUCUACCAGUUCAGUCUCUUUAUUUAUUUUUUUGAGAUGGAAUCUCACUCUAUUGCCCAGGCUGGAGUGCGGUGGCAUGAUCUCGGCUCACUGCAACCCUGACUCCUGGGUUCAAGCGAUUCUCCUGCUUCAGCCUCCUAAGUAGUUGGGAUUACAGACACAUGCCACCUUGCCCAGCUAAUUUUUGUAUUUUUAGUAGAGAUGGGGUUUCACUAUGUGGCCAGGCUGGUCUCGAACUCCUGACCUCAAGUGAUCGGCCUACCUCGGCCUCCCAAAGUGCUGGGAUUACCAGCAUGAGUCACUGCACCCCACCCAAUUGCUUUAAAAUACAAAACACUAAACUAGUUGCCUAAUCAUUUGUGGUCCAGUAUAAAGGUCAUGUUUCAUGCCUCAUACACGUACAUUUCAUGCCAGACAAUACAUUUUAAAAUGUGAAUCUGUUGAAACAAAUAUCAGCUCUUGAGCUUUUGCCUGAAAUAUGCAGCUCCUGGUGGCAUUAGUCACAUGAUCAGAUUCUACAGAUGAAGAUACAUAGUCUUCAAGCUGACACUUGAAUUGAGACAUAGAAUAAAAUACUGAUGUGAAACAUGCAGAAUAGCCAUCUCCAUACUAAAAAAAGCAAAAUAAACUUUUAUUGGAUCAGUGUGUAUGCACUGCUUAGAAAAGCAUUUUAGAAGGUUCUAUACAUUUGAGGCUUGAAACGGAGCCCACUUUCAAUAAUAGACGCUAUAACGAUGACUCUAUUCAAUGGGUUAAUUAACUUGUCUUUUAGUUUUAGAGAUUUUGACUUAGUUUAUGAGGGAACAGAUUUUCCUGGUUUUGAUGUGUUCCAUACCAGACAUUUGCUCACUUCUCCUAAACAUGAGCUGAUCUCCUAUACUGACAGAGAGGAUUGAGCAUUUCUGAAGUAGGCUGAGGUAAAGGAGAAAUUGGAGAAUUUCCUGAGGCAUUUAAAGGAAAGCAUAAGCCACAUUUUAGGGCAAUUAUAUUUACUGUUUAAAAUUAAUAUUAUAUUAUUAUAUAAUAUGUCAUGUUACAAUUAGUCAUAAUAUAUGACUAAUUUUCCCAGGAACUCAGUUAUUCCUUGAGAGUGAGUUGGAGUUGGAGGCCGAAUACUUUGGAGAAAUUCCUAGGGAGUUGGGCUUAUUCAAGUGGGAGCUGGUCUUAUUCAAGUGGGGGAAAUGAAGGAUAAAAGGUGAUUUAUGGACUAUUUUCAAAUAAUGGAUUUUUCCAAUAAGGAGGAUGAUGUUGGACUACUGUUCACCGAAGUUUGAGUAAUAUGAAAUGAGCUUUGACUGAAGGAUGCAGGAUUUAGGUAAAGUAUACAGAAGGAUUUCCUUUUAAUAAGUGGAGUUCAGCAUAGAUGGAUUCCCAGGCCACAAAGGUGGUAGUGGUAGUAGGCAGGUGGCUGGUAACUGUUGAAAACGUGAAAAAACCACCAAAAGUAAAUUAAAGUGUGUAGUGUAAGUCACGAUUUUGUUUGUCCUUCUACCUUCUAAAACUUGCAAAUUUUUCAUGAGGAUGAAACAUGAAAACCACCACCAUAUCCAAGUACAGUUCAUGAUUCCAUUUAAGGGAACUCCAUGUAACACAGACUGAUAACUAAUUUUACCCAGCCCAACUCAAAAAAUGAUCUUUUGCAAUUGUCAAUGCAUUUUAGUAUUUAUGAAUCUGGAAGUACAGCUUUAUUCAUUUUCAUGGUACAAUUCUUUCCAGAAUUAGAAUGUACACCAUUAGCAUCGUCAGGGUUUGUUGGUUAAAUCAUCCAAUAUUUUUUAAGUGCACAGCUCUUUACUUGCAUCUACAGCAUCUGAGACAUGCCGUUUUUAAAAUCCGUAUAUGUGGCUGUCUCUAGGAGGUUCCUCUCAGGUCCAGGUAUCCAGUCAUGUCAGUCUGGAGCAAUUUCUUUUUUCCAUGCAUCCUCAGGUACACAUUCAUGGUUUCUACAAAGUCGCUUUUUUUCUAUAUACUUUUAAAGUUUAUUUUAAAAUUAUAGAGCAAUCCAUGAAACAUUUGCACUUAUGAGAUCAUAUUCAAAGGAAUAACUAAUAAGUCUGGGUUAAAUAAUGUCGACUCUUUUAAAAAUGAUUUCAUUAUAAGAUGUCUUUAAACAUACAAAUCAACAUUAAUUGUAGUUUUCUCUCCAGUUACUGUGUUUUUCCCAAAAGUAUCUCAAGUGUGCCCCAUAAUGUAAAGAGGCUGUUAACAUUUGAAUAUAGCAUGCUUUGUCUUUUCUAAGGCAAUAUUUUUGGGAAAGGAUUUCUUUUAUUUGGACAUACUGAAGCAUCUAUUGUCUCCAAUACCAUUGUUUAGGGAGGUAUCAGGGCUGAUAUACCUAAGGUUGCUGUGGUUGGCUUCUCAAGAUGUAGUCUAAUCACUGAACCGUUCAUGAAAGGGCAAUGCUACAACAAUCCAAAACUGUUAACACUCCUCCUGGUGCCUUUUCAAGAAGACAGUCAUGUCCCAGAGGUGGGCUUACAAACUGACUUUUAAAUUAUGCUUCAAUCUGAUGACCUCAACAGGUUUUAACCUCUCUUAUUGGCAAAGCUUAUUUUCAGGUUCCCAUAUAUGAGACACAAGGAAAUAACUAGCUGAAUACAAGUUGUUUCCCAACCUUCGAUGAGAAGUUAAAAUUGCUGCUUCUAUUUUCUAAGUCUCCCUCUUUCUACCCCUGCCCCAGCACUACAAAACUCAUCAGGAAUGAAUGAAUGAAUUUUUUUUUAGCCAAGUGGUAAUCAUUUGAUUUUAGUCAAACUCUACAUUGGCCUAAUACAAAUCCCUAGUAAGGGAUGAGAGCUGCACAGCCUGUCAGGGGUAGCUCAAGUAGCUGUUUGUUCAAAGUACUUGCUGAAGCAGAAACAACCCUUUUUGUUUUGAAAGCAUGUUAAUGUGAUAAUGAAAUGCACAAAGCAAAGAGGUUCAUCCAUAUAAAUGGGUCAUUUAAAUAAUGAGCAAGAAGGAAGGAUGUGGUUUGGUGUCAGUACUGAUUAAUUAGGACAUAAAAAUAAAUAACCAUCCCAACAUUGGCUGCCUCCCUUGAAACUUACUCUAUUAGUGGGCAAUGAAGUUAAUGCAAUUGACAAUAUAAUUACAGGUUAGUGAGCAGAACAAUCCACGAAGAGGUUCUUGUUUCAUUUACAGCUUUAAUUAGCUAGAUAGCAUCUCUUUGUUAAUUUUCUCAUCUCUACCUUGCUAAUCUUCUGGUCCUCAUACAAAAAAAAAAAAAAAAAAAACCUGUUGUUUUCAAUGAACCUAGAAUAUUUUGGGUACCAGAUAUAGAUAUAUAGUAUUGUUUUAGGUAUUCAAUUCAACCAACUUUUAUUAAGUGUCUACCAUUUGAUACUCACUGUGCAAGCACAUGCUAGUGAGUUUAUAAAACUGUACUUCAGAAAAAUGCAACAACACCCAUCAGUAACUUAUUUUUCUGAUUUUCUUUUCUGGAAUUAUUUAUCUUUCAUGGAAAAAGUUUACAAAGUUUCUAAGGUCUGGUGUUAGUGGACUGUGUUAAAGUUGAUGGCAUAUGGUCGUCAGAUUUAUUCCUUCACCAAAGAGUUAACCUUGAGGGAACUUUAUGCAAUCUAUUUUACACAAUCAUGAUUGAGGAUAACACAGGUAGUUGAAAGUUAAUUAUCAACUCUGCUUCAAAUACUGACAGAACACCUAACUUGAGAUCUAUUAGCAUCUCUGGAGGUCAUUGAGACUACUGGAAGGGCACUUGGAACACACACACAGAGACAUACACAACAGAUUAUGUGAAACAAUAAAACCCCAUAGAAUACCAUUUUGAAUGCCUCCUCCUCCUCCUCCUCCUCCUCCAUCCCAAUAAGUAUGAAUGUGAUUUUAUUAAUAUUUUCUUGUUACUGUUAAAGGAUGACUCUGAUACUGGUUUUGGUUCAGGACAAAUCAGCUGCCAGUUGCUGAAUAUUCUCAAAGAAAUAAUUUCAUUCUGAUAGAACCUUUUCAAUGUUAUUUUCAAAAAGCCCAUUUUUAACUUUCCAGUAUAGAAAUAACUUUCUUAUAUUGUGGAAUGAAAGAAGAAAUCAAAAUUAAAUUGUGUGUUGGAGAAUAAAGGAGAGAGAUGCUCUUCAUGCUCUAACAAUGAUUCAUAUCAGAUUCCUUUUCUAAGAUUUAUGCUUCUCACAUUUAUUUUUCAUGCAUAUUCCCUAGUUCAAAGUAAAUGAUCAAGACUUUUUUUUUGACUAAAAUUUUCCUCUUUUCUCUGUCUCCCUUUACCCCCCAAGUGUAAAACAUAGAGAAAGCAGAAUUUUUGUCUUUUCCAUAAUGGUUCAUUUGUAUUCUCUGAACUCAGGACUAAAGCAAGUUCUAAUGUCUUACUGUUUUAUAUCACCACUGAGGUAGCAGUGACGUGCUGGCUGCUGAUGAAUAAAUAUAUUUAUCUGGCUUCUAAACCUGCUUACACUGUUGAAUAAUGAGCAGAUGUUAACAAUUACUCUAAAUGUCUUGGAUAUUUUGUAAAACUUUUAUCAGACUUAGAGUGGUUUAUUGAUUUAGUCAGAAUCAUGCCCUGGGCACAAAACAUAUUGUCAUAUGGGAUUCAACGUGGGCAGAAUGCAUGUGCAUUAACAUUUUAAACUCCGACACAAGGGUCCUGCUUCUGGAACCUUUUGAACGGUAGGUAUCGCUAAUAUGUUCUGGCUCUUCCUGUGUAAACCAAAGCAUAUUCACUGACAAAUUUUUUAUGGCCUCACUUUUAAGGAUAUGACACAAACAAUUAGGAAUGAGAAAUAACGAAUAAAGGAUUUGAACCCUAGUUUUGUAGAUUUCAGGUAAACAUUACAAUCCAGUGUAGUAACAACUACCCAUGUUGGUUUCUAAAGUAAAUCAACAAAAAUCUAUAUUCUCAUUUCUCUGGAGUUAUGUUUUGUUUUUUGUUCUUUUUUUGUAACAUCAAGCCCUUUUAGUUGAAUGAUACAGAAAAUCACUUUGAAUUCAAAUAUAAAAUAAGGUCAUCCAUCAUGUUAACAAUUUAAUUACCUGAGUAUAUAUUUUUCCAGCAAAAAAACCCAUUAUUUGUUGUGUAUCUUAUUACCGAGUUGUUGCCUCGGGACAGCUUGGCUGUCAGUGGGCAGGCCUUGUGGUAAGCAAUGGUGAGAUAGGGAGCAGAUAAGCCUGGCAGUCCUCUGCCUUCCUUUCAGGCCCCCUCCAUCCGUGUUUCCUGGAGGCCUUACCUGUUAGGGUCCUUGUAAUCUUUGUGGCAACAGUGAAAUGGUGACUUGUAAAGGCAGCGAAGCAUGACAGAGAGAGUGAAAGGGUCGAAUGAAAUAGAAAUGUGAUAUUUUCUAUCUUCUGAGGGCCCAGGAAAUAGGACUCCUGCUGCUGAGCUGGGGUUUGGCGUUCAGUAUCACAGCGAGUACAGGGAAAGUUGUGAGAUUUAUUGUUUAGGACUCACGGAAGAGGCAAAGUAAACAAUGCACUAGUUUCUCUGAUUGUUUAAGUAGCUGCCUUCCCAGUGAUUUCAGCUGAAGGAAUAAGUUCAGCACUGAGGAAAUGAGAUUAGAAUAAGGGAGGCAAAUUAGAAAAGAACCGCUUCUGGGUCCUUCUCGGGGCAUUGGAAUGGCAGGGUCACCUCCCUUUAGAGGACUCACCAGGUGGCAGGCAAAUGUCUGUAAUGUGGGUCUGUUGCUAUUUGCUUGCUUUCUAACUGUACACCCUGACUUCUACAAGUACCUAUAACAACACAAGCUAGUACAUUGAUUAGAUGGCAACAAUCCUAUCUAAUCUGUGGAGUGAUGGACAUAAAAAUGGCAAGGAAAUUUUUUCCUGCUUCUACAGUUUUAUGCACCAUGGUGGUUGGCAGUUUCAUUUUGACCUGCUUCCUUGCAGGGAGCAUUGUCAACCGUGGAAGACAGAAAACAAAGACCAGACUUAAACCAACCAUUAGUACACGCUGCCUAUUUCCUGGCUGGAUAAUGUUACAAGAAAGGAAGGUGUUCUGUGCUUACUAAGACUCUGAAUUGAGGAUAAUUUUUGCAUUUCAGAGUGGAAGACUAAUAAGUGAUAGAGACAACGGGGCUUGGUCAACAACUUUGGGGAUGAAUCACCCAGGUAGUGGAGGGGCAAACUGCCUCGUAGGAAAUCUUUGCUUCUGAAUCUCGUCCAGGCAGCCCUACUGGGUCCCCCUCUCAUUCGACUUGAGAUAAUGUAGUUCAAGAAAUAUGCUUAUUCUGUUCUUGCCUGAAGAAGAGCUGCUGAUCAUUUUAUGGUUAAACAAAUGCACAGAAGUUUCUUUGAAGUGAAUUUCACUGUGGAUGAUUCAGAAAGUGCUGAUGAUGGCAAGGAGGGGGUAGGUUUUCUUAUGGGUUCCUUGAUAACUUUACGAAUGCAUCUGAUUUUCACAGCGAACGCAUGUUUUCAUAAAUGGAAACAAAUAAAACAGUAGGCAAGAGCUUUUUCAAAUUCUUGCCAAGUAUAUUAAACACACAAAAGUACAUUCACAGCAAAAGUUGGCUGAAAACAGCUGUUUUAAAGGAUUUUUGUUGAAUGUACUUAACAGCAUCAUCAUUAUAAGGCCUGAAGCAAACGUGUUACUGAUUACACCCCAUUAAGAAAUUGGAAUGCAUUCCCCCAAGGAAACACCAUAGCACAUGCUAUUUGAAAAUAACAACCAGCUCCAAAACAACUCAGCUAAGACUUUGAUAUAGAUUGUGCAGCCUAUCUAAUAAAGAUAAAACUCUCAGGAAAAUGAGAGUACAUCUUAUCUUAACUAAUCAGAAUAUUUUUAACAAUAUUGUUUGAGGGGAGGUUUCUCUGGUGUCUUUCACCUUUUCCCCAAGCUAGCUCUGUCUACCGCAGUCACAUACUUGUAGCUGAAAUUCUAUGAGAAACCAGAUAUGAGGGAAGUUCGGGGAUUCAACUCGUUAUUGCAUGCAAAUUCAGCUGACCAUUUGUUUGAAUGUAAAACCCUAUGUAGUUCUAGGUCAGCUUCGUAUCAAGUGUUGUUUAUCCUGGGAGUGCAGAGUAUUCUUCAGGUGGGACAGAAAGCUGUGGUGGGGUCUGUGGGACAUGGAAAAUUUAAUAAGGAUCCUGGGAUUAUGACUCUGAGAAAUAAUGCUCAUGUGUCGAAAAGGCAUUGUCAAAACACCACUGAAGCAGGGCUGCAGGGUGUCUGCAGCUCAGCUGUUAUUGUCCAGCCUGUGUCUGUGCUGUCUGUCCACCAUGGCACAGACACAGCUCUACAAACACUUUUCAUAACGGCCCAGGAGCCUCCCGAGGGCCUUGGGGAGUUAGGUAGAAAGGAAUUCAAAGUCCAAUACUUAGUAAAAAGAAGUUAAAAAAAAUUUUUAAAGCUUUUUUUACCUUUACACACAUCUGAAAGAGGGGUCAGAUUUCUCCUGGUGAUGAAAGAGUCACCGCUGGGACGAACCUCCUUUCUUACCGUGGGGGCCACACCAUGGGUCAUGCUGCUAAGGGCAACCUCCCCUCUCCCACUUCCUGAAAUGUGGGGUCACUGCCCGAGAUGGUGAGGAGGACUGCAAUGUCCAUGGAAGUACUGGUGUCCUACAUACAUAAAAACUCAAUGAUAAUUAUGGCAACACUAACAUGAGAAAUGAUAUGAUAAUAAAUUAAGAACUUUUUUGUCAUUAUUUCGGUGUGUCAUGCACCUUUGAGUCCUGGUCAUGGAACUUUGGAUGAGUGCUCUAAGCUUUGUGAACCUCUAUGUUCUUAUUUUUUACAAGAGAAGUAUAAGACCUACCAUAUACAAUGUUUGUGAGCAGCACACUCUUAGCAUACAUAUGGAUAUUUAUCUGUACAUUUGUAUAUACAUGCACAUUUGUGUGUGUGUGUGUGUGUGUGUGUUUGUGUGCUCAUAUACUUUAAAAAAGGAUGUCAGCAUUUUUACUACGAGCAUCUCUUGGGGAUUCAGGGCCUAUUUGAAAUUUAAGAUUGUGAGACAGGCCUAAUUAUUUGUUGAAGGGAAGGAGUAUUACUGGGAAAGAUCCUUCUCCUCCACCAGUUUGGAACUUCGGAGACCCUCAGGAUUAAGCUGAGGCAAAAAUAGACUUCUUAGGCUAGAGUACAUCCCUGUCCAGAGUGAUCAGGGAUCAUAAUCUUAACACUCAGGAUUCCCAAGACCACGAAGGAUGCUGCUAGACUGUGACCCCGGGGUUUCUGAAAGGCAAUUACAUGCCAGAUGGCAGUAUCUGUGAGCAGGCGGUAUCGUAAAUGCAGUUCCCUAUGUCAUGACCUAGACUUCAUUUUUCCUUAUCACAUGGUUCUCAGAGUGUGGAAGGCUCUGCUCGGGCAGAGUCUUGAUGGGAGAGCUCUGAACAGAGAAGCCUGGGCACAAAGCCCGGCACCAGCAAUUGGUCUGUGCACCUGAAGGAACUUUUUCUAAUGGGACACUCCUUACAAAGCACCUUUUGUCCAGGCUGACAGUGAGCAUGGGGAAAACUAGUGGAAAUGGUGAUAAGUUUAUUACCCAAAACUUUGAUGUCACAGAUAAAUCUCUUGUUGAUAACACUGCAACCGUGAGUCUCUUGGGAAAUGUUUGUGAUAACAUGACACAAAUAUUAGUAUUACCAACUAUCAGUAAGAGUCAUUUGCCAGAAAAAAAAACAACAGGUGAUUUUGAACAAAGGCAAUGGUGAUAGGGGCCAGCUAAGAGGCCAGGUAACUAUGUAACUCUAUCACCAUUUCCGUUUUCAAUGAAUCGUGGGCAAGGUAAAUAAUUUUAAGGAACCUACAUGUAAAUGCAUUUCAAAAAUGCAUUUUACUACUUAGAGUAAAACUGAUGUAUUGUCCAUUAAAAAUGAGAGAGAUCCCAGUAAAAUUGUACUCAGAAAUUCUGGAGAUGAGAUCCAUAAUUGGAAAUUUUAUCCUGACAAAUGAAAGUGAACUGGAGGUAUGUUCUUUAUCAUAUGAAUUUUAUUCUAUCUGAAUAUUGUUUGAAUAAGUGAGGCAACUUAUUUUUCCUGGUGAGCAAGCUAUUUUUUUUCUUAUUGUACAAAUAAUUAUAUCUUUUUUUUUUUUGAGACAGGGUCUUGCUCUGUCAUCCAGGCUGGAGGGCAGUAAUGCUGCCACAUCCAGUUAAUUUUUAAAUUUUUUGCAGAGAUAAGAUCUCACUUUAUUGCCCAGGCUGGUCUUAAAGCCCUGGGCUCAAGUGAUCCUCUCACCUUGGCCUCCCCAAAUGCUGGGAUUAUAGGCAUGAGCUACCAUGGCUAGCCUCUUUUUUGUGACAAGUAUACUCAUUUUCUUCCCUAAACCCUCAUCCCUUUCACCCUCAAUUCUAUAAUCAUUUACUAAACCUCAAGUAUAUUCUAAGUGCAGUUUAAGUUACUACAGACAGAUAGAGAGAAUAGGUUGAAUCUCUGAUCUUGAGCAAUCCAUAAUUUCUUUUGUUCAAAUUCUGGAUGUGAUUGAAGUCAACAUAUACUCUGAAUAACGCUGUCCCCAUGGAAAAAGUUUCUUCUUAGAAAUUACUGUGAAAAAGGGAUCUCUCAAGCAGGUGACCAUAUGCCAGUGGUUGCACCGGGGCACAGAAAAAAAAUUGAGGCCUGUUUCUACUAUUAUACUCUCAUAUUUUUAUUUGGAUUUACCAAUAUACAUAUCAUUAUAUCAUAUAUUAGUACAGUGAGCAUAACUGAUUAAUUUACAAGUAAAUAUGUUAACAUAUUGGAGGGGCAUGCCCAACAGAUUUUAUUCAUAGGGUAUGUGAUGAUAAAUGCUUGAGGACUACAGCUCUGGAUUACAUUCUUAAUGAGGGCAAAGGGCCUGCCCAUCUUGUCUGGCCUUUUACUGUGAAUGGCAGUGUUGGUAACAUUUGGGCACCUAACAAAUAUUCAGCAAAGAAUGAAUAAAUAAACAAACAAAUGCUUUCUCUUUCCUUCAGAGCUGCUAAAUAAAAGUGGUUUAUUUUAAUAAAUUUAUUAUUUACAACAUGUGGCAAUGUGCGAGACAGAGUAUAUUUUGUAAAAGUCUCUGACAUGGACAUUGUAUCUUCUCCCUAGAUUUGGGUCUAAUUGUAGGUCUAUCUAUGCAGCAUACCUGGGGUGGUAUCUUCUGCAGGGAUUCACAACUUGAUAUCCUUCAAAUCGCACUUCAUAAGCUACUCCUGUGCAUACUGCUUACCUGCUUGGCCUUGGAAAUAAGAUGUCAUGGAGUCAACACUUGAAGGAAUCCAAAGAAGGUCAUCUGGUUGAUCUUAUUUUCUUUCUGGAUGGGACAAUACAGACAAAUAGGCUUAUACACUAUUUUAAAUAAUCUCUACAUCCUCCCCCAGGAACCUACUUAAGUGCUGGAAUUUGGGAUUGUUUUUAGGGAUAAUAGACAUUUUACCAAGAAAAAAAAUAUAGUAAAGGUAAUUUCCUUAGGUUUAUUGAAUGUUCAGUUUUCACCUUGUUAUUCUUUCUUCUCUUCUUUGUUUCAGGAGAGAGGAGGAUGUAGGGUUUGUGAAUUCAUAGAAAGCUUGGAGGAUGGCAAUUUGGGAGGCUGAGGUGAGAAUAUCACCUGAGCCUAGGAGGUUGAUGCUACAGUGAGUUGAUAUUCUCACCUCAGCCUCCCAAGUAGUUGGUACUACAGGUACAUGCUACCACACCCAGCUAAUUUUUGUAUUUUUUAAUAAAUAGAGAUGGUGUUUUGCUAUGUUGCCCAGGCUGUGUUUGAACUCUUGAGCUCAAGCUAGCCACCUGCCUCAGCCUCCCAAAGUGUUGGGAUUACAGCCAUGGACCACACUGCCCAGCCCUCAAUGAAUUAUUUUACAAAUAAAGCAAACAUAAGAUUUUGAUGCAUAACAACACAAGCACAAUGAUAAAAAUGAAUUUAAAUCUAUCUGGAAUCAUGCUUUGGAGUUUACAAAGCAUUUUCACACUAUCUAUCACAGUCUAAAUCUUUUAGUCGAUCAGCACAUGUUUUCUAACUUUGUGGAGAAGAAAUGAAAAUUUCCUUAGUGGAAAAGAAAUGAAAUUUCAAUAAGUAAGUGACAUAACGAGGGUCCCGCUAUUUCUACAGCAGAGAUAUUUCCUUUACAUUAGUACUUCUCAGUCAGCAAUGUGAAUGUGAUUUACCCGAGGUCCUUGAUUAAACACAGAAUUCGAUUCAGCAUUUCUGGGGUGGGGAUGGAGAUUCUGCAUUUCUCACAGGUUUCCAGUAGGUGAUCAUGCUUUUCUACAUAGAUCACACUUUGAUCUACGUACAAUAUUCUGCAUCAUAGUUGGUUCCUAUGUGAUGUGAUUAAAGACAACCUUGCAGAGUUGCUUUGUGCAAUGUGUUUAGGACAUUCAGAGCCAAAGGCUUUGAAAUUGGUUAAGACUGGUUUCUGUGGGAGGAGACCAAUCAUAAUACCAUGAAGAGUUAAUCAGUCUUUCUCCCUUCUGAACUUCUCUCAAAUAGGUUCUCUUUCCUAUUUCGCUUCUGCUGCUUUCAUUCAAGCCAUCAGUGUCUCUCUGCUGGGCCAUCACAGCAGCCCCAGAUUGCUGGCAUCUCUUAUUUGCCAUCAGCCUCUCCCACUGGCAUCAGUUCUUUCUGUCUAAAAUACAAUGUCAUUAUGCUGUUCCCACCUUUAAAGGCCCACAACGGUGUUCAGUCUCCAAUAUGAUGAAAUGAAAAUUUUGAGCACAGUGUAUUAGGGACUUCAUAGUUUGACCUGUCCCCUUUAUCCAUACCUCCCCAGCUACAGCCUACACUGUGGCCGCCACCACUCCCUCUUUAGCUUCAGACACUGUACUUCAUCUACCCCAAACAUCUCACGUUUUCCAAAUAUAGUGUGCUUGCUCUUUCACUUCUGUGGAAUUUCAUUUCUAAAUCUGUUCUCUUUCUUUAUUAGAUCUAAUGCCAAAUCUUUCAGAAUCUAGUGAGAUACCUGGCAAUGCUCCUGACAAAGUAGGCAACACAAUAAACAUUUGUCGGAUGAAUGGACUAGACGCCUGAUAUAAAUAGCUCCAAUCACUGUUGGAUUAGUAUGUAAGGCUGGUGGUAAAUAGUUGCAAAACUUGAAAAUAAUAUAAUGAGGCUGGGACAUUUGCCUGGAUUUCACAAAAAGAUUGCUAAAGAUAAUCAUUUAAUGGUGAAAGAAAUGCAUGGAAAUCACGGAAAUUGCAGAGCAGUUUAUUUAGCUGAUCUUGACCAAUGACAUGCUUAGAGUAAAAGCAAAGGGAGGUCCUAACUCUAGGUCAUGCCUCAUCCCAUGGCAUGUUCCACAGGCAUCUUACCCUUCCUGCCAAUGUUAUUUCAUUCAGAAGAGUAAUGGUCUGGGUGACAUGACUGAAGAUGACUCAUUUGUAUUUCUCCCCUCUGCCUCUGUUCUAUAAUUUCUGUGGGACUGCUGUUCAUUUCUGAGUUCUCCAUGAAAGAACUUUAAAGGGUGGUGGUUUAAAAAAAUAUUGACCUUUUUCUUUUUCUUUUUUUUUGAGAUGGAGUCUCCAACUGUCACCCAGGCUGUAGUGCAGUGGCGCGAUCUUGGCUCACUGCAACCUCCACCUCCUGGGUUCAAGCAAUUCUCCUGCCUCAGCCUCCCAAGUAGCUGGGACUGCAGGCAUGAGCCACCACAUCCAGCUAACUUUUCUGUUUUUUAGUAGAGACGAGGUUUCACCAUGUUGGCCAGGAUGGUCUCAAUCUCCUGACCUCGUGAUCUGCCUGCCUCGGCUCCCGAAGUGCUGGGAUUACAGGCAAGAGCCACCACACCAGGCCAAAUCUUGACAACAAUGAAUUACCAGUCUUGCUUUUGCAAGAAAAAUAGCAGAGGUUUUCAUUUAAGGAAGCAAGAGAAAUUACUAUGACCAAAGGGAUAGUGAGCCUCCUCUGUUAGCACAUCAAUAUUGGGUUUUUGUUAAGAAAAGAACCAAAACAGCAAGUUGCCAGGCAAGCUAAUUGCUAAGCGUAGAUUGAAUAUUGGGCAAGAUUUCAAAAACCUGUUUGAAUAAGUAAAUAUUAACUAAACAAUUAGCAAUAGAUUUUAUUAUGCUGCAUGAAACAAAACAGUAUGUUUAUAAACACAAAGCUGUGUACGUACACAAACAUGUAAAAUAUCUUUAAUUUUCAGGAAGGGAAUUCUCUAGCUUUUCUAUUAUUAGGAAUCUAGAAGUUUCCCUUUUCUUCUUUUUCUCUUUUCUGCUUUCCAAAUUUCCCUUUCUGUUCUACUACUACCUACUUACCCACGUUCCCUCUUCUCUUCCUCCCUUCAUUUGUAAAACCUUUUUCCCACCAAACAACUAUGUAACAAGCAACUUACUCUGGUCUUUUUUUUGUGUGUAGUGAGGGGAAGAAAGGGAAUGUGGUGAGGAAGAAACUGACCCGGCUAAUUCCAAUGUUCCAGCCAGUGAAUAAGACACUGGAUUCUAAAUAUAAGACAAGGCAUGAUUCAGACCUCGAGAAAGAUUGAGCUUUGUGGUCGGGAACCCUAUACCAAUUCUAAGUUGUGAAGAUCCUGGUUAUAAAGGUGGUGGUUGAUGUGAGGAGGAGCAAAGCUCCUGCCUAAUUUGGAGAGAAUGUUUAGAAAUUGAAAGUAGAGGCCAAGCUAGAACACGUUUGAGUGAACUAAGCCAAAUCUGAAGGAAUCACUUCUGAAUCUAACCUAAAAUUGUAUCAAAUGGCGGGGGCAUAGUUUUUAUCCCUUUCAUUCAGAACUGACUCAGCAAGUAAUCCCGAACCUGCCUAGGCCAGACACAGUGCAACAUAGUUCACAUUUGGAAUGUUGGUGGCUUCAAAGUGCUUACUGUUUUUAGUGUCUCUAUUCCUCUGGAAAGACCUGGACAGCUCUCAAUAUGUGACUUGUCUCUUCAAGGUUAAAUAAAUGCUGAAACAGUGGAUAAGGCAAGGGACCGACCAGAAGGAGCUUGAGUUCGUCAUGUAUCAGGAACCUUCAUUGCUCUCUUUGUACUGUGCUGGCCAAGACUGUACUAAAGCAGUUCCAUUGACUAUUCAGCUCCACCUUUUCCUUAUUUUGUUGUCUGUCAUUCUAGUACAUUAGUUAUCAGACAAAUCUCAAGAGAAUUAAGAUGAAGAAUCUUGUAGUUAUAUAGAUGAAUCUGAUAAAACUUUCAGGAUAGCCUUUGGAAACCACCCUAAAAAGGUACUGUGUCUGAGAUUACAUGAAAGCUUUAAUUUCCUAUGUUGGCUUUUAUGUUACAAUUCUCAAAAUAAAUUUGGAAGCCACUAAGUUUUUACUGCAUUCAUUUGGCACACUGUGGCUUAAAGUUUAUAUUCAAGUACUGAAAAUAAAAUUGAUCUCAGUUAAAGGUAUUUAGGACUGGAUAAUGACUUGUCCAAUAUGCAGACUGAAUAAAUCAGCAGAGAUUUUUAGCAAGAUCAAACCCUGGGUUGGCUUGUGCAUAAAAUUCUGAUGGUAGCCCAGGAAUGUCAGGAGGCUUAAGGUUAAUGUGGCCCUUUUAAGAGAGAGUGAGAAAUAAGAGAGCAUUUGUAUAUAUGUUGGUACAGAGCCUGAUGAAAAACAUAAAGAAAAUGAACAGAUGAGAUUCCUAUACAACGUUACUAGUUAAGGUGUGCCAUCAUUCAUUCAGUGAAUAUUUUUGGAGAGUUUGCUUUGUUUCAGGAAUUGUGCUUGCUACUGUGUUUGUAAAUAUCGCAAUAGCUUUGUUUAUCUACUAAAUUAGUCCAGAAAAUCUGAACCAGGAAAAUAAUUAAGAUUUCUUCAGGGUUAGGAAAGAAAACUCUGAGACUUCAUGAUUAAUGGAAUGGAUUUGAGCUUUUCUGGAGCAGCUGGUACAAGGGCAUCUCUUUGGGAGAAACCCUGGUUGGAAGUCAAGAAGAAUGUUUUGUUGUGUGAGUUCCCUUGUUACAGUCAUAUUUAAUAGUUAGAGCAGAGUUCACAUCUGGGAACCCUUGGAGAAUUAGCCAUUGUGAGAACAGUGAAGCAAGAGGAAACACAAGUAAUAAAUAUUGGAAGGCUUAAUCUGAUCUCUUGCCUGUCUUCAAAGGAAGCUUCAUUUAUAAAGGACAUGCAUGAUCAUGAAGAAAGGACCCCCAUUAGGCAGUGAAGAAAUAAUAAAAGACUAUGUCCAAAGUGUCUGGUACUGGGAGGUUAGGGGACUGGCUCUGUGCUCAACGGGGAGAGUAAUGGAGCUGGACUAAAAUUCAUCUUUGGUUUGCUUUUCAGGGUCCUCUGCUUCAUAGAGCACCAUUCUUUCUUUUUAUACCACAUUAAGAUUUAUCUGACAAGAAGCUUCUACGUGGAAACAGGAGAGUUAGAACCUGGCGAGGCAGAGUUUAUGCUCAUUCAACUUUGAUUUCUCUCUCUUAAGUUUUCUUUUUUAAAGAAGAAAGUGUUUCUUUUCCCUUUUUUUUGUUUUCAGGGAAUUCUGAUGAUGAAGACCAGAGAAACAUCAUUGAGGCAGAUAUAAUAUACAUACCCAUUUUCUCUCUUAUGCUACAAUGCUGCCUGAUGUAAUUUGAAAGUAUCCUCAUAAUUUAAGAGGGGAAGUAGCCUCAUGGAGUGAAAUCCUGGUGCACCUAGAAUAUUAUGACACCACUCGUGUGUGUGUGUUUAACAGGAAUUGGCUCAUGUUGUACAUCUUUUUGUAGUUUGUGUUUUUCAUUAAAUGUAUCGGUCAUUAUAAUAAUAGUAAAUACUUUACAUAGUGGUCACUCCGUGCUAUGCACUUUCUAUGCACUUUAGAAACUUCAAAUUAUUUAAUAUAGACUUGCUACAUUGUUUUAAAUUACAUUUAGUUUGGUUAAUCUCUAAUUUUUGGAUAUUUAAGGUGAUUACAUUUUUUUUGUUUCUAUAAACAAUGCUGGACAAGAUCUUCCUAUGCACACCUUCUUGGAUAAGGGUGAAUGAUUGCAAAGGCAUCAAAAACAUCUAGUACACAUCACCUGAUAACAGUGGUUGCCUCUGAGGAGAGGGAGUGCACAUAGAUUGAGAUGUGGUUCUAGGGGCUUUAGCCUUAUAUGUCAUGUUGUAGAACAUUAUUAAACAAAAAUAUAGUCUCAUAUUACUUGUGUGUUAAAAUUAUUUUUAAAAAUAAAUACAAGGCUGGUAGUUUUUCAGCACAUAACUUAACCAACCUGAUCUUUUUACCCCCCACUUUUAAAAUGCCACCUACCGUAAAUACUUGAUGUGUGGCUAUGGCAGACAAAUGAAAUGUUAUGUGUUGCAAUGCUUUAUAAAGUGCUAAAUAUAUUCAAGUGACUCCUAUUCUAACAACCUGAAUUUCAGUCAUCAGUAAAGGCAUCUUAGAAUCCACAAGAAGUGAAUAUGCCAGUGAGUGUUCCCUAGUUUUAACAAGGGUGUCAUCUACGUUAAAGAAAGAAUUUAUGUUGUAUUAGUAAGAAUCCAAUUCAGCAUAAUUCACAUAUAGCUUUGAAACUUCAUAUUUACUGAUAUAAAUACCAGCUCUCUUCAUUUAUUACAAUUUCACUUGUUAGAAUCAGGUCUAAUUUUGAGUAUUGGUAUUGUGUGCAGCAUUGCUAACCCAUUUAAUCUGUAACUCACAUGGUAUAGUUCCUGGAGCUUUGUCCCAUACAGCUGUUAUCAUUGUGUCAUAUGACCACCCUGAACCUGUAAGCAUGGAGGCACCCACAUUAUCAAAUUGUAGCAGUAAAGAAAGAAAAAAGAAAGAGUGAAAUUAAAUAGUGUAUUUUAAAUGGACAUUUCUGUGUCAUUAGAGAACUAAGAUGUUUAGCAGGGUAAUAAUGUUCCGGCACAGAUGACCUUGGGACAUUAUCGAGCCUUCCUGCUCAUAAGAUAUAGCAUACUUUAAACACCCUAGACAGGAGACCUUCCAAAAACAGACCCAAUGACAGAACCCAGAUAACCAUUUCAAUCCUGUACAAAUUUCAGUGAUAAAAAUGUGUAUAAAUAUCUAACCCUAUGAGGAUAGAACAUUUGAUGUUUUGAGGUCAGAUCAAAUGUUGCCAGUUAGUUUUGACUUCCAGGCUUUUUAAAAUCCUUGCCUUAAUGUCACUACUGUGGGCCAUUCAUACUAUUUUCGCAGGUCUUAGGAUAAACAUUUUUUCGUAUAAGUACAUGCUUUGAAUAAAUUAGAGGGGACACACACACACAAACACACACACACACACACACACACACACACACACACACACACCCCACAUGGGUACCUUUUCAGGUAAAAGCAAGUUUUUCAGAAACUGUUUUCUAGAAGAGUUUUUCCCUUCUAAGUAAGGAUUGAGCCAAAGCAAGAAUAAAGGUUCUUUAUGGUUUAAAUAUGCCACUUCCUAUUGUGCACUUUUAUGGAGCCAUGCCUUUUAUUUAGUUUAUAUUUUACAUCUAUGAUCACUUCAAAGUCUAUUAUAAACUCUGGAAUAAGAGAUGCCCAACAGAACUUUCAGCAGAGUGAAGAUGUUCUGU